UGCUUUCUUUUUAUGGUUGCCUUGGUUCUUCAGACCUCAACAAGGGGCACUGAAGAUGACUGUUUUGUAAUUUGCCGGUACUUAUGUCUUUCUUCAGAAGGACUGUGACUAAAUAUAACUUGACAGUGCAGCUGUUUAGAGACACCUCAAGAUGAUCCUCUCUUGACAUGACUGACAGGAAGAGCCUUAACCACCAGGAUGUUUGGAUGCAAGGACACUGUCCUGGAGCUAAGCCACCUUUCUUGAAGGAAGUUUCACACAGACAGGUCCAUUUCUGUGAAACGUUUCACUUUGGAUAAGUAUCUUAUGGGGAGGGCCAGACUGAUAUAUAAGUAUCAUUAUGUGCAUCUAAUGAUGUCUACAGGUAGGUUCAGAAGCAGGAAUCUGCCAAUAAUGAGCAACUUUAACAUUCAAAUUGCACUAACAUCUGCAUGCACUAGGACAUUCCUUUGAAAUAGGAUGUGCCAUAACAUUGGCCAGUGUAGAAUUUGUUGUGCAAAUGUGGGGGCCUAUGGUCAAGAGAGAUGCAGCCCUAGCCUAGUUCCCACUUGCAAGCCCGAUCUCCUUACUAGGUUUCUGGUUGUAGCCGUGUUGGUCUAAGGACAUAGGCAGGUAAGGUUCUUUGAGUAG